rnacentral:rRNA from 1 species
UACGUAGGGCGCAAGCGUUGUCCGGAAUUAUUGGGCGUAAAGAGCUCGUAGGCGGCUUGUCACGUCGGGUGUGAAAGCCCGGGGCUUAACCCCGGGUCUGCAUUCGAUACGGGCAGGCUAGAGUGUGGUAGGGGAGAUCGGAAUUCCUGGUGUAGCGGUGAAAUGCGCAGAUAUCAGGAGGAACACCGGUGGCGAAGGCGGAUCUCUGGGCCUUGCCUGACGCUGAGGCGCGAAAGCUAGGGGAGCGAACAGG